AUGCAAGGGAUAGAGGCGGUGGUUGAGGGAAACUUCACAAAGGGUUUGCGUGUACUCAUCGUUGAGGACGACCCCGUCUCCUUGAAGAUCCUAGAGUCCCUCAUGUGCAACUGCAAAUACCAUCCAACGAUGGUGAUGGAUGCAUUGAUGGAACUAAAGAUGCCCAAGAAGGGGAAGAAUGAGUUGGACCGGGUGAUUAGCAACAUGCACAUGCCAGACAUGGAAGGUUUCAUGCUCCUUCAGCUCAUUAGAGUUGAGCCGGAUCUCCGUUCCAUAAGUAGACUCUCUGCUUAA
rnacentral:rRNA from 1 species